CCUACGGGAGGCAGCAGUAGGGAAUCUUAGAAAGGGGGGCAACCCUGAUCUAGCCAUGCCGCGUGUGUGAUGAAGGCCCUAGGGUCGUAAAGCACUUUCGCCAGAGAUGAUAAUGACAGUAUCUGGUAAAGAAACCCCGGCUAACUCCGUGCCAGCAGCCGCGGUAAUACGGAGGGGGUUAGCGUUGUUCGGAAUUACUGGGCGUAAAGCGCACGUAGGCGGAUUAGUAAGUUAGAGGUGAAAUCCCAGGGCUCAACCCUGGAACUGCCUUUAAUACUGCUAGUCUUGAGUUCGAGAGAGGUAAGUGGAAUUCCGAGUGUAGAGGUGAAAUUCGUAGAUAUUCGGAGGAACACCAGUGGCGAAGGCGGCUUACUGGCUCGAUACUGACGCUGAUGUGCGAAAGUGUGGGGAGCAAACAGGAUUAGAUACCCUGGUAGUCCACACCGUAAACGAUGAAUGCCAGACGUCAGCAAGUAUACUUGUUGGUGUCACACCUAACGGAUUAAGCAUUCCGCCUGGGGAGUACGGUCGCAAGAUUAAAACUCAAAGGAAUUGACGG
rnacentral:rRNA from 1 species